AAUGCUGAAUCAUAGUUUUCAUUAAAUGUGGUCAUUAUCCUGGAGGAAAAUCACUAGUGGAAAAGAAAAUGUGCAAUGCUCCUACUAUUUGAAGGAAACAUGGGUGUGAAGCCGCCUUAUCCCUCACUUUGUUUCCUGCUGUUGCUGGAACUUGUCAUUAACUGUUGCCUCAUUCCAGUUCCUGCUGAAUUUAACCCUUUCCCAGAAGUUUGAACACACAUAAGUAAUAGGAAUAACCUCUGAUACAAUGCUGCAAUGCGGGUAGUUAACAGAUUAGAAAGAUGAUACAAGAAAAAAAGUACUUUUCUUCAUAUACGUUUUGUUGAUAUUGUUCAUGUGUGUGGCAGUAUAAAUGUUGCCUGCAGCAAGAGGACACAUACAAAUUGUCAUACUAGUCCAACUAUGGUAUCUUUAAUGUUUUGUGACCUCAGGAAAAAAAAUUGUCAAACCAUUACACAGAAUGUGAAUACAAAACAACAUGGCCAAUGAAGUUCCACAGAGUUGCUGGUAACAAUAGAACUCUAUAGGACAAUCCUACUUAUCUAGUGGUUCCGGUUCACUUGGAUAGGGUAGAUCAGCUCCAGGACCAGCACUUUGUAUCUUCACUCGUCUGCUAGCCCCAUGGUCAUAGUAGCGAAGAGCCGAUUCUUCUGUCUGCACUGCUGACAUACCCAGUCCUUCUGAAACCUGUCCUUGACUCCCUUCAGAUUUUGCUGCACAGAUCAAUAAACACCUUUGUAUACUAAAAAGAACAAAAAUGAAGUAAGAAAGAAAAAAGGAAGGUGCAAUACUUAAAAUUGUUGUCAUCAGGGAGUUGCAGGAUUAAAAGGUAAAGAGGUGAGUUGUACAGGAAUAGAGGAAAGUGUUUAUAAUAAAGUGGAGGCAUUUACAAACUAGAGUUGUGUGGUCCAAGUUUCCCAGAGCCUGUAGUGCAAGACCUUGUUUAAUGUACAAGCUUAGUGUCAGAGGGGGUUAUUUAUGAUCUGCAGUAGGUAAGAGGUAAGGAGCCUCUAUUCUUACGAAGGUUUUUCUUGAGGGGAGGAUGCAUCAAGUUGUUUGAUAUAUUACAGGAAUAUUUAAAUCCUCAAGGGUAAUGACAAGAAGGUGUCAUUACAAUGAAGGAAAAGACAGUCCCAGCUGGUCUACAUGACCUUCUUUUUCACUAUUUGAGCAGUCAUAUGAUUUUCUACUGCAAGGAGCUCUGGAGUUCUAUCAGCCUGUAAUUUCGAUGCAGGCUCCUCUUUCCCUAUGCUAUCAAGCCUGCUUCAAAAAUCACUGUCUGUUUUCAAUGACUUUGGUAAUGUCUUAAUAGAACUUUUUCCUUCAGCAAAGACAGGGGACAGAGGCCAGAUAAGGGAGUCUUUGCAGCUCAGCUUCCCUAUCAGAUGUGCAGAGAUAAUCUAUUUGAUGAUGUUAGGCAACAAUAAUGGAUAUAGAGAAAAAUUACCCAAGAUAAUUAUUUAGUGGUAGCUCAAUGCAAAACAUUCUGAACCAUGGCAUGACCAUGUUCUACAUAAUUAACUUUCUACUGAUCUGUACUAGGUUCAUAUGUCUAAUGCAUGUUUCCAUAUGCUUUAAAUGGAAUUGUGAUUUUUUUCAAAUAAACUGUUUGGACUUGCUUGAUAUUCA